rnacentral:rRNA from 1 species
ACUCCUACGGGAGGCAGCAGUGGGGAAUAUUGCACAAUGGGCGCAAGCCUGAUGCAGCCAUGCCGCGUGUAUGAAGAAGGCCUUCGGGUUGUAAAGUACUUUCAGCGGGGAGGAAGGCGAUAAGGUUAAUAACCUUGUCGAUUGACGUUACCCGCAGAAGAAGCACCGGCUAACUCCGUGCCAGCAGCCGCGGUAAUACGGAGGGUGCAAGCGUUAAUCGGAAUUACUGGGCGUAAAGCGCACGCAGGCGGUCUGUCAAGUCGGAUGUGAAAUCCCCGGGCUCAACCUGGGAACUGCAUUCGAAACUGGCAGGCUAGAGUCUUGUAGAGGGGGGUAGAAUUCCAGGUGUAGCGGUGAAAUGCGUAGAGAUCUGGAGGAAUACCGGUGGCGAAGGCGGCCCCCUGGACAAAGACUGACGCUCAGGUGCGAAAGCGUGGGGAGCAAACAGGAUUAGAUACCCGUGUAGUCCCAUGA